UACAGAGACUGCAAGCGUUAUUCGGAUUCACUGGGCGUAAAGGGUGCGCAGGCGGCCAAGUGUGUUAGGCGUGAAAGCCCCGGGGCUUAACCCCGGAAUUGCACCUAAAACUACAUGGCUAGAGCAUUGGAGAGGGUAGCGGAAUUCACGGUGUAGCAGUGAAAUGCGUAGAUAUCGUGAGGAACACCAGAGGCGAAGGCGGCUACCUGGACAAUUGCUGACGCUCAGGCACGAAAGCGUGGGGAGCAAAAGGG
rnacentral:rRNA from 1 species